rnacentral:lncRNA from 1 species
UUUUAUUGAAUUUAUGGGAGUAAUUAUCAUAGGGAAAAAAUCACGUGCUCACAGUUGCCUCUCUUUUCUCGGAAACACGAAGAGUUUUCGUGUAAAGAUAAAGUGAUUGGAUACGAGCAAUUUUUGCCCGUUUGAAUACUCCGUGAGAAGCAUUUUUGAAAGAUUUGACCGCAACCUGCUUCCGAGGUUGCCUACAUAUCCUUGCCUAUAAACAAAUCAGGUCAGUAUAUUUCCGAAAGUUUCGGUAGCUGGGACUGCCAGAAAGAUGUGAUUUCACUAUUGUUGUUGCUGCUACUGCUUGCUGAACCCCUUAUUAUGCCAAGACAAAAUAAAAGAAGCUACAUUAAACUAUGAUCCAUGCACUAUAAGAAUCCUAUUAUAUCUUUAAACUUGAUCUUGCACUUCCUGUAGCUCUGUUGAGUCUUACUCUCAAAGUGAAAUUCCUUUGUUGAUGACUUGAAUUUUAAUCUGAGAUGAUUUCCCUUUUAUCCAGGUGGGCGCCUGAUUGCUGAACUUGAAUCGUCUUCCUUCGAACAUUUCUGCUUUCCCUUGGUUAUUCCAGGUGGGCUCCUGAUUACUAACACUUGAACUGCUUCCCUUCGUUCUCCAGGUGGGCUCGUGAUUACCAACACUUAAAUUGCUGCUCCCCUUCGUUCUUCAGGCGGGCUCGUGAUUACCAACACUUGUACUGCUUCCCUUCGUUCUCCAUGUGGGCUCCUGAUUACCAACACUUGAAUUGCUGCUUCCCUUUGUUCUUCAGGUGGGCUCCUAAUUACCAACACUUGAAUUGAUGCUUCCCUUCGUUCUUCAGGUGGGCUCCUGAUUACCCACACUUAAACUUCUUCCCUUCGUUCUUCAGGUGGGCUCCUGAUUACCCACACUUAAACUUCUUCCCUUUGUUCUUCAGGUGAGCUUCUGAUUACCAACACUUGAAUUGCUUCUCCCUUCAUUAUUCAGGUGGGCUCUUGAUUACCAACACUUGAGCUGCUUCUCCCUUUGUUCUUCAGAUGGGUCCUGAUUACCAACACUUGAACUGCUUCUCCCUUUAUUCUUCAGGUGGGCUCCUGACUUCCAACACUUGAAUCGAUUCUCCCUUUGUUCUUCAGGUGGGCUCCUGAUUACCAGUGCUUGAACUACUUUUCCCUUUGCUCUCCAAGUGGGCUCCUGAUUUCCAGCGCUUGAACUACUUUCCUUUGAAUUUGAUUUAUUUUCCCUUUGUUCUCCAGGUGGUCUUCUGAUUGCUGAACUUGAAUUAUUUCCUAUUGUGACUGCUUUUCCUUUGAAUUUGAUUUGUUUUCCCUUUGUUCUCCAGGUGAGUGCCUGAUAUCAACAAAAUAGACAAAAUAAAGAGAAUUUUCUGCCCCAGUUUGGUAGCUGAGCGCAUCUGUGAGUGUUAAUUGAAUCAUGUUAGCAAAUAUCUCUAAGAAUUUGAAAGCUAAAUCCCAUUAUCCAGGAGGGUCACUCCUAGUUAAAUGACAGUUUUAAAGCUAAGUUAUAUUUCCCAAGGGUAUGACUUUCGCUAAAUCUCAUUAUCCAUGAAGGUCUUAAAACUAAAUUCCACUAUCCAGGAGGGCCCUGAAAAUUAAAAUCAAGUCUUAUCUUAAGAGUGACAACAUUAAGCCUAAAUUAUACUUCCCUAAAUGUAAAACUUACGCUAAAUCUUCUUAUCUAAUGGAGGUCUUAAAUCUAGGUCUCAUUAUUCAGGACAGUCUUGAAAAUUUCGAAUUGAAUCGUUCCUAAGAAUGAAAACUUUGAAGACAACUUAUAUUCCUUUGGGGUACACUUAUGCUAGAUCUUUCAACUCAUGAAUGUUUUGAAUUUUAAACUAGGUCCCAUUAUCUAGGAGAGUCUUGUUAAUUUACUAUCAAACCUGUCUGGUGCUUGCUUUUCCUUGCGGAGGGUUUCUCCGAAACAAACAAAAUUUUCUUCCCCUGUUUCAAAUCAAGGAAAAAUCUUGUUAGUUUAGAAAUGUGGUGGUUAGUUUGUGACAUUCUUGCUGAAGGUGGCUCUUCCCUUGGCGUGCUUUGCUUUAACUAGCUGCCUUGAACUAGCCAAGUGUUGACUUUAUGACUGUUCCUCAACCGCAGGACCCUGGAUGACUCGAGUGCUCUUUACCCAAAUCAUUUUUUACCUUUCUGACCCUUCUAUCUGAACAUCUGCAUCUCCCAUGCAAUUACUAAUACCGAUGUAACUUUCACUGACACUUUGUGUCUCACAUUACAUCAUACUAUCUUUGGUAUGCUUUGGCCACACUGUGCUUUGUGCAAUUUUGGAAGUUGGCAGUGAGCUUUGAAAUCCUUUUCUAUUUUUUUAAACAAAACUGGCAUUGGAAACAUCUUGGAGAAAUAAACCCAACAAAAUGAAAUGCAAUGUCUUUGAGUGUUAGGGAUAAGAAAAAAAAAUCCAAAUUGAAUGGCUGUUUGAAGGGGAAAAAGAAAAAAGACUUAUUUGAGUGGAGCAGGUGGUACCAAUGAUCAUGACAUGCAUUUCGAAUUAAUCAGCCCAGCUUGUCCAGCCAAUCAAUUUUUAGUUGUCAUACUUGCGCCCCAAGAUCUUCAUUGUCACACUCCUUUUUCCAUUAUACACCCCGCUAAAGGUGCGUAAAGGAGUUUUUCAAUUAAAGGACAAUCGGAACGAGAUUGGGUUAUUAAUUAUUCAGAGCCGCCACUUGGGAGAUUUAUGGUGUCCCAAGUCACCGGUUUAAUCCCGAACCAAGGAAAAUUAUGACUCUGUUAACAGUCCACGAACCAGAAAUCCGGGUAAGGAAUUCUGUUAACCCGGGAUAAGGUGUUAGGAAUUCCCGAGUUCCGUGGUUCUAGCACGGUCGCUUAACUGCUGUAUUUGAUUUUAUCUUAUUUUUAUUACAUGAAGAACCUAUGUGCCAAUUUUAUGCUUAACUGCUUUUAUUUAAUAUAAUAUUUAUUUGAGAAAAUGAACGUCGUUUAAAGUGCGUUUUCGGAUUGCGCCGCGUCAAAUGAACCACAAUCCUAGGCACACUUUAUUCAACGUUUUAGGAUUUUGAUUUGGAUCGCAUAAAAUGCCCACCCGUACUUAGGAAUAUAAUUUAUUAAAGCCGCGCCUAAUAGAGUCUAACGCGUUGUAAUCUUUUGGGAGGGUCGUGAAAUUCGCUAAACGACCCUUCCCAAUUUUCUAAAUAUUUU